rnacentral:rRNA from 1 species
AUUGAACGCUAGCGGGAUGCUUUACACAUGCAAGUCGAACGCGUCGCAGACGUGUGAGUAAUAUAUCGGAACGUGCCCCGUAGCGGGGUAUAUCUACUCGACAGAGUGGCUUAUACCCCAUACUAGUGGGACGGCCUAUAUCGGAUUAGCUAGUUGGUGGGGUAAAGGCUCACCAAGGCAACGAUCCGUAGCUGGUUUGAGAGGACGACCAGCCAAAUUGGGACUGAGACACGGCCCAGACUCCUACGGGAGGCAGCAGUGGGGAAUUUUGGACAAUGGGGGAAACCCUGAUCCAGCCAUCCCGCGUGUAUGAGAAGGCCUUCGGGUUGUAAAGUACUUUUGGCAGAGAAGCGGUAUCUGCAGAAUAAGCACCGGCUAACUCCGUGCCAGCAGCCGCGGUAAUAC